rnacentral:lncRNA from 1 species
GUAUUACUACCAGUCUGCGGGAUAGAGUUUCUACCAAAAACGGAAAACAAUUGUUAAUUCGUUGUUACAUCUUAAGACGAUCUUAAAGCCAGGAUCUAUGUUACCGAUAUUUUAUUUAACCAUUUAGUAUCAAAUUAAAUUUAUAGAAUUGAAAAUUCUUUUACACAUUUAAAGUACGUACACAAAUAAACCCGAGAAUAAUUAAAUUAAGACUAAAGAUGCAAAACAAUUUUUAAAGUUCAUUUGUUCAUGAAAAUAUUUGCUUUAAAAGACAAGUUGUAUAGCUUUUAUAUGUACAUUGAUGUACAUAUAAAAGAUGAAUGAUACAUUCGAGUUCGGAAUAGAUUGAGGAUAAAACUAUAUUCGUCAAAUUACGAUUAAAAGCUGUAAAAAAAAAGUUAUUUGAUCGAGCAAAUUUUAUUCAUCUAAGUGCUUUCACUACAUAUGCAGAAUGGUUAGUAGAGCAGUCUGCAAAAAUUUUUUUCAUUCUCGGUAAAGUUUAAUUCAUGAGGUGAUAUUAAUACGUAUGCUUUAAUUCUAGAAAAGAAUUUCCAAAUCUAUAAAAGAAAUACAUACGACAUCUCAUUGAUGUACACGAAUGACUCUACAUUAGAAUUUUUGUUGAAGUUGCAAGAUCUCUUUUUUUAAGUGUAACAACGAUAGAAGAGCCGCGAUAUGCUGAUUGCUAACAACAUUGCUUGUCCAGUUUCGAGACAAAAUUUCGAGAUUGCACGAGAAGGGAACAUUAAUUAAAAUCGAGGAGAGACAAAUGAAUUUUAAUACUCAGUAAUAUUUCUUAUGUAAAAUGUGAUAUACAAUUUUCAGUUUCUCGCAAAUUUUCUUAAAUUCGAUAUCUCGCGUGCUGUGCGCUACAUCGGGGCGGUUAUUCGGUUUAUAUCUUAAAAAGUGACUCGAAAGAACUGAUAUCAUAAAUCCAUCACUGUCCCCAUAAGACGGGAUUGAAAAACAUGGAUCUGAAAAGAUUGAAUGGCUCAUUGGUCGACGCAAACGCGACAGCCAAUCGGAUGCGUUAACAGUGCCUGCGAUCGCAGCGUAUUCGCUUCGACUUCACGCAGUUGCCCGAAUAAAUAAAACUUUUUUCGACAUCGUUAAGAUUAACAGACAGCACCUCGAGCCCUUUCACGUUUCGACGAUCUCUUUCGCGGCUAACCUCUUCUCCAACGGAAGGAGAUUCUCGUCCCCCCAAUGUCGCGGUGACCCAUUGUUUUCAAUCUUCGGUGAGUUUUCAAUUCGCGCAUGUCAACGGAGACAGUGACGGAUUUACGGGAGCGGGAUUUCUUGGAAAUCGCAUUCGGUAUACACCGUUCGAUUUCGAGUGUUGACAUUUUUUUUCCGUUGGCAAAAAGGCACAAGCGAGGCUCGUGCCUCGGCGACUCGGCUACGCGUUUUUUUUUCUCUUUCUGGAAACGAUUCUCGAAGUGACCAAUCAGCUACUCGCUCCCAUGAGUUCCCCACUCUUUCUACAAUGCCUCAAGUGGACGCGAGUCAGUUGUAUCGCGAGGACACGGGUGCAAGUAUUAUUUACGUUUCGCGGUCUCGCGUUCGUUUUUACGUUCGUCGAGAGUGAAAAUCGCGUACGAACGUGUGUCAGGAAUAUCGCAUCGAACAACGGGCGAUCACUUUUAUAUUUUCGGGACGAUAUAACUACGAGAGAUAUACGUAAGAUACAUUUGGUAUCGCGAGUGUAUCGCCUUUCAGUCCGUAGUGUCGGUGGCUCGCCUGAAAGAUUUUCGCGUUUCUUAUUUGAUGUAGAAUUUGAUUGAGAUAUUGGUGCUCGAGCUAUUCUCCUCCCCUCGUCCUCUUUUACAUCGCGGCCGGUCUCUUUUUCUCGAAAGGUUUACUCGUAGGUGGCCAGCGGGGACCGUUUUCUCCCGUCUCAAUCAUCAAUUUUCGAUAAGUAUCUCGAUUUCGUCGGACGGCACGAUGUCGUAUAAUUUAUUUCGCGAUAACGCAUCUUAUCCGCCGGAAGUGAAUAUCGCGAUCAACGGCGAUCGCCUCUGUGUGUUCGUUCGUAAGAGGCUCGUUUGUAAUCUGUGCGUGAGGUGUGAAAAAUGGAGCAACGUCGCGUGAGAGAAAUGCCCGGGAUUUUAAUAUCGUCAAGUGUGCCGCGUCUGAUACACGGCGCGCUUCAGUUCGCAGUGGUCCGUCGCCCGUGCGAACGUGGCUUCGCGUUCUCCGUCUCGUCGACGUGAAUAUUAAUUCAGAUCUCAAGACUGGGCUUCGCCCGCCCGUGAAUCUCGCUCGCGUUUACUUCGCAAUUAGUCUCUUUCGAAAUGUGCAUCGAGUUGACCUUCAUAAGCCCCGCUCGGUACCUCAUUCCCUUCGGAACGAUGUCGGGUGCGCGUGCGAGGUUAGGUUACGUUGCUUAAUUCGCGAUCGCGCAUCUUUUCAUCCAUCGAAUAUCGCGUGAAACAACGGCGAUUACCUCGACGUGUCGAUUAGUUUGCACAAGAUAUGAAAAAUAAAGCAACGUCGUGCGUGUGAAAUACGCGGAGAAUAUUGCGUGGUGUAAAGUGCGUCACUUCCGAUACGCCUCGGUCGGUAAUGAUCGUCGGUUGUCCGAAAGUGGUUUCGCGUUCUUCGUCUCGUCGACGUGAAUAUUUAUUUAGAUCUUAAAACUGGGCUUCGCCCGCCCGUGAAUCUCGCUCGCGUUUACGUCGCAAUUAGUGUCUUUCGAAAUUCACAUCGAGUUAACCUUCAUAAGCCGUCCCGUUGUUUCGCUCGGUAGGCGAGGUUAGAUUGCUUAAUUCGCGAUCGCGCAUCUUUUCAUUCAUCGAAUAUCUCGUGAAAUAACGGCGAUUACCUUGACGCGUGGAUUAGUUCGCACAAGAUUUGAAAAAUAAAGCAACGUCGUGUCCAAGUUUACCUAAAAAUGUGUGUACUCCGCGAUAUCGGCGAGUCGAUCGAAAAUCCGCCGCGUGAGCAAACUACGACAUAUAUAUCAUGGCGUAUUUCGAUACAUAGCAUCUUAUUCCGGUGGACGGGUGCCUCUCGCCCUGUAUAGCUAGCCGUGUAUUCAUUCUCACAUUACGUAUCUAUCACGGGAGAUCGUAAUCGUAAUCGUGUAAUUUAACACGGUAUGGUAAUCGCCGUAAGACGCGAGCAUAUUAUGCUGUGUCAUUGUAUGUGAGGGUGGCCGCGUAUAGGUGGCGCCUGAAAUUUUCUCCGCGAUCUUUCGAUAAAUCUCUGUUAGUUUGACCGUCGUCCCGGUUGAUUUUUCGCGGCGGGUGCCGGAGGAGCCGCUGCUACGCGCGGAUUCGUGCGGCAUUUCUGCGUUUCGUUCUAGUGUCGCGAUACAUUGAUGUCAGGAGCAAUCGGCGCGACGUUACGACGGACGGAGGACGGCCUCGCCCAGAGUCACGCGAGUGAAGUUGUUUCCGGUACUUUUCGGAGCGACGUGAUACGCGACGGUUGGUCCACGGGCGGCGUCACGGGGGGUCGUCUAUUUAAGUAGGGGGGUAUGACGCCGACUGACUCUUCUUAUCCGACUCUGUUUACGCAUAUUCGCUUCUCGUGUGUCGAUCGACGUUUCCCUGAACCGUGAAUAUAUUCCGCGAGAUUCAGCCGAUCGGGAUCAGCCGCGCGAGCAAACGGCUACGUCAGAGCUACGUCACGGCGUCAUUUCGGCCAUAUUGCAUUUCGGGAAAGUGCCUCCCGCUCCGGUGGCUCGGUGUGUUUAUUCUCGUGUAAUAUUCGUUAAUGUUCGACGUGUGUGGCUGUUACUUUACGUGUCGGAGUUAGGAUCGCGGUAGGUAGCGCGUGAAAUUAUCCGCGCGAGCUUCCGAAAACGUCGCAGUUGGUUUCAAGUCGUCCGUUGUCCGUCCGUUGCGUCGGUCGUUUUGGCGGAAACCGAAGUUGUAGCUACAGGUUACUUUCUCACCGGGCGAACACCUGAACGCGUCGCGUGCCGUUGAUGUGUCGGGAGUGUCGUGCAAAGUGCCGGGCGAUCGCGUUGUGGCCCGAUUGAUAUACGAACGUCGUUAACCUUGUUCUCGCGAGUGCCAUGAAUCGACACGCGUCGUGUCUCGGUUCGGACGACCGUCGGUUGUCCGAAGGUGGUUCGCGUUCUUCGUCGAUGCAAAGAUCAAUUGAAACCUCAGAAACUGUGCUCGAGCACUUAGUUUUUUUCCCUUCUGGGAAAGUGUACUUGCACGUCGUGUCUUCUUCGUCAUUCUCGAAUAUACUCGGUCCCGUCGCGAGGACGCACGAAAUUGGAGUUCCGCGAUUUCGCGUCUUUAUUUCGUGAAGUGGAAUAUCGCAUUAUUCGAAGCAUCAGGAGUGACUCGAACGGCGGCCGCAAUCGCUCGGCGUGUUUUCUUGUUCGCGCGAUCGUUUCGCGAAAUUCGUAGGCGGCGUCGCGAUGAUCUAACCUAACCUAACCUAACUUAACGUAACCUGUUCGUCCGGUCAUUUGCAUACGACGACAUACGAACAUCGCGCGAGUGAUAGUGCGGAUGCAACCAAGGGCACGUGUUACAACAAAAGGGAAAGGGAUACCCGGAAGCAAGGCAAUGACGACAUAUUGGCUGGUGAACGAGAUUACUUGUUAUAUUGCGCUUGCGAUUGUCGUUUCAAUGACAGUCAAUAUAAUCAAAUUACCAUUGCAACUCCACCGCUACGCGUUAGUGUAUUGGUACCUGGAAGCAAGGCAAUGACGACAUAUUGGCUGGUGAACGAGAUUACUUGUUAUAUUGCGCUUGCGAUUGUCGUUUCAAUGAUAAUCAAUAUAAUCAAAUUACCAUUGCAACUCCACCGCUACGCGUUAGUGUAUUGGUACUCGGAAGCAAGGCAAUGACGACAUAUUGGCUGGUGAACGAGAUUACUUGUUAUAUUGCGCUUGCGAUUGUCGUUUCAAUGACAAUCAAUAUAAUCAAAUUUCCAUUGCAACUCCACCGCUACGGGUUAGUGUAUUGGUAAGUACAAAAUUAUUAAAAUACAUGCAUUUAUUUGUUGGUUUAUUGUGCAGAAAAGGAAUACAUUUUCUAUGUCAUAGUUUCUAUGUCUAGAUUGCAUCAUAAAAAAUUUAUAUAUCAAUUAAAAUAAAUAUUGUCUUUUUUUCUAAUGAAUACACUUCAAAUUAAAAAAAAAUUUUUAUGUUUAUAAUUUAUGCGUGUGAACGUUAAAUUAUAGUAUUGAAAGCCAAAAAGAUGUAGAAUUAACGAGAAUAUGGUUGCUAAUAGGCGCGAAAAAAAAGAAUAUAAUUAGAGUUCCCAUGCAUAAGGCAAGUCACAGCAUAAAAGUUGUCUUCGCGUGCACGGUCAAACUGCCGUGACAGUAAAAAUCGCAAAGUACAGUAAAAGUUCAUAAUAGAAAAGAUAAAAAAUAAAACUGUGUAACAGUGCACAAACUAAUAGCGCGAACGAACUUUCGAAGAUAAACUGCUUGAUCCGCUGACGAUCCUAAAAAACUUGACUUGCGGCGUGUCUUGCUUUUCCGUAACGUAAACGUUGCCGUCGAACAGUCGAUUUAGCUCAAAAUGACAUACAAAUAUUUAUCUUCUAGAGUUCUUCCUUGUGAUUGUGCUGUAUACUUGAUGUUUAUCUGGAAUUAUUUAUAAAAAUUUUAUUUUUUUGAAGAGAUUCAAACGCGUUUGCUGCGAUAUGCCGUAAUAAAUUUAAUUUACAAGCAAAACUGUGCAACAAAAAAAAAUUGAAUUUUAUGUUGACGGCGGUGUAUCUUUAUAAUCUGUAGUUGCUAAAAUUAUGAUGAGUGAAUUUCUGUCGAAAAAUUGUCACAGAAAAUAACACGGAUACGAAGAAAUUAUGACAUUGCAAAGUUUUCCUACAUUAAAAUUGACAGCGAUUAUUUUUUGAUGAAUCUAUAAUUUACUGUAAUAAGAUUGUGUGUUUUGCGAUUCGAAAUAUCACAUUUGCUAUGUUAUCGCUAUUGAUCAAUGAUUGUUGCUUGUAUAAACGCAUUAUUAAUUGUCGAUACAUAAAAAUACACAUUUGUGUAUUUGUACAUUAUUUCACGGUUUGUGUUUAUUAUAUUUUUUUUUAACAGGAAAAUAUGAUUUAUGAAAGAAAUUGAAAAUUCUUAAUUUUUAAGUUUGUUUCUUGGAACGAAUGUUCCAUUCGAAUAUAGCGAACGUUUUAACGCUAUAUUUAUCGUUAUUCUGAAUGCGUGCUUAUCUGAAACGCUGUGAGUUUUCAUUGCAUGAGCUUCGUGCAUCGAUCCACCCCAUCCUUCUUAAAGCUGUCUUGAUCCGCCGUUAAGCGCGGGGUAAUAAACUCCACGGCGGCUCAUUAAAGUGAACUUUAUGCCUCUUUUUAUUUUGCAUGGCACAAUGUUUAUUAACGUUUACAAUAAAUAUCACUCUUAUCGGUACGUUUCGCCACCUUGUUAACUCGCAUUGAUUUUUCUCGUUGCGAUGGGCGGCGGAGGGAGUAAAGAAUGGACGAAUCGUCGAGUCUCGUGGAUUUUGAUAAAUAGUGUCAUCCUGUAAACGGAUUCAAAAACGUUCGCCACUAAACCCGUAUAAUUCAGAUACUCUCUCUCUCUUCCCGAGGUUCGCCCAUCUUCCUCCCCGCGCUAUUAUACGAUGUUUGCGAACUAUACCGGUCGCUUCCACUUUCCGUCGACCCCUUAUUCCGGCUAUUAAUCUCUCCUAGACAAUUCCGUGGAAACCCAAUGCACCAAAACACGUCGCCGAAAAAAGUCGCGCAUAAUACCCUGUAUGUACUCAUCCUACAUUUAACAUCCGAACGCUUAAACUGUUGAUUCGCGGUAUAAGGGUUGCGUUUAACGUUAACACGAGAGAAGACAUUGCCACAUGUUGGCCUGGAUGCAUAACGUAUGGAAUGAGGAAUAUAUAUUUUUGGAAAACAAAGUGAGUCAAUCUUUCGUGUCUACUAUUUUUCAUGCUAUCACUUAGAUCUAUAAUCUGGAGUAAUAGCAUGCGCGAGACGUAGCUCCGUUUUAUAUUUAAAAUGGUUAGUAAAUCUAAAAGUCGUAAUGGCUCGUAGUAAAGAUGUCCGCGUUGAAGAAAUAGAAUUAAAACUUAAACAUGUUCUACAAGCCGAUGCGCGCCGAGUUGGAAUAAAAAAGUGAAGCGAGCGAGAGUUAAGCCGGGGUUAUAUCGGACGGAAUUAAUUGAAGCACUUUAGAAGACUCUAUCGUGUAGCAGUUUACAUAAGAAUGCUGCGCAACGAAUGUUUCUCCAACGUAAUAACAUACCUAGUAUUCUGAAAUAGCUUUGUACACACAGUCAACGCAAGAGACGUAAUAAAAGACGUAAUGUCAUAUCCACAUGUUAUUUUAAAUAACAAUUUACAGAAAUCUGAAAAGCUUAGAAUAUCAGAUAGCUGAUGUAUUACAAGAAGGACUUAUUUUUCAGAUUAAUGAAAAGUUUUCCCAUUUCUCUAAAUGGGAAAACUUUUUUGCGAACAAAUUUUUGUUUUUUGAGAAACAAAAGUGAAAAGCUCUGUUAUGAAAUAGGAUUGCUAAAUAUGGGAUUUGAUUGAUCACUGACAUUUGAAUUAUAGAGAUUUAUCGAUUAAGAACACACACGUAGUCCAUUUCAGAGUUUGGUUUGUUCUAUGGAAUUUUUUUUAUCUAUAUACAUAUAUCUAAAUUCGUCCUUGUCAAUAAAUCGUCGAGUCAUCUAUCGCACAAUCGAUUUUCCUAUCUGCGAGUUUAAGUGCGAGAAAAUGUCUUGCCAGUCACGUGUUCCGGCGAUCGAUAUUUAAUAGCGGCUGUCACGGUUAGGAAUUCGAUCGUAAAACUUUCAUCUCAAUGGCGCUGAACUCGCAAACUACGCUGAAGAUCUUAUCGUGUGACUGCUGCAGGAGCGGGUAUAUAGCAGGCGCGAUGUAAAAAGAGUUGGUCGGCAAUUCUCGUCGGUAUAUCCAAUUUUGUGACGGUCGCGAAAGUGAAUUAAUAAACGUAAAAUUUCCAUUUAUAAUCAAUUGAACGCAUAUAUAUUCGUCUUAACAAGAGAAAAGAUAGAAUGCCGGAUCAGCUAUUUUCGUCUAUAGCUGUUAUCGAUAAUGCAUCACAAACGCUUCAAUAGCUGUAGUCAUGGAAGGUAAGGUCUAAAGCAAACACGAUCAACGGCUCUCGGAGUGAUACAGUGUACGGAUUGUUCCCUGUGUACAGACACCUAUUAUCAUACGAAAGCAACAGACGUUAGACACAAGUAAAUUAAUUCAAAUCUGUAAUCAUUUGAGAUUUAAUACUAACUUGUUCACAAUUUAUUAAGAAGGAUAAACCGAUAUCAUUUAUCAUACAAUAAUUACAUACUUUUUCAAUCAUAAUAUAAUCAAAUUGAUGAAGCGUUGAAUAAUUAAUCAAAUAACUAAAGUCUCAGAAAACAAAGCGACACAAAGAAAUGUUUAUGUUAAUUGUUUGUUACGUUAUUAUAUUUUUAAUUAUUGUUGAACUUUUCCCAAAUUUACUUAUUUCAAUUUUUUAUAACAAUAUUGAUUUUGUUCUUCUAUAUCAAAUAAAUUAUUGAUUUAUUAAAAUAUUUUACUCUAUAUACAAUCUAUCAAUUGAACCAUUUUAUUAGUUUUGUCUUUAAGAAUUUCUGAAAAGAAUUUUUAUUAAAAUGUUAAAUGAGAAUUGAUUUCUUCGUGGUACUGUCUAUUUUUUAUUAAUUCGUGUAAAAGAAUAUGAGAAAAGUACUUCAUGUAUUUUUUUUUAAUAUGAAAAAAAUGAUAUAAAAGAAUGUAUCAUUAAAUAAAAACGUAAGAGUAUAGAUUUUUAAGCUCGCAAAAUGCAGACGCAAAUUAAAAA